AUAAAACUCAGCCUCUCUGGGAGCAAAUUGUCACUCUCAACAUUCCGCAGGCUGGUGGCGGCGCGGGCUGUCCUCGGACGCAAACUACACCUCCCAGGAUUCCGCGAGCCAAGGGGGUGGUUCUGGCCGGGACCGGAGCGACUGAACUCGCGGCUUUGCGCACGCGCACAGGCUCCGCGCCGGGCUCGCCAGCCGGGCAGGCGCACGAGGGACACCUGCGAACCUGGAGGUGGCGGAGGCUGCGAACCCGGCGGCGCGGCCAAACCUGCGCUGGCUGCAUGGGCCUCCUGGGCCAGGAGCUGGCGCUGGGGGCGGCGGCGGUGUGGGAAAGUGGCGCCGCAGUGGGGCCUCCUGGACGUGUUGGCGGAGGUGGCUUCAGUCCCGCGGAGCCCAGGCUUCAGAUCUUCCAGCUCAUCCUUUCAUAUUAGUCAUGAGGAAUCUCAGUCCCGCAGAGCUAGGAAAGAGCAUAGGUCCCCUCAUCCCCAGGGAUGGUCAGCACGUUCCUUCCUGCGCCUUGGGCCCCUGCGAGAAGAAGAGGAGAGUGGAGAUCUUCAGCAGAAAGGAAGACAUGGUGCUGGUGGCUGGACCCUCCGUGGCCAUGCUUUCACCAGUUCUCGGGAUGCCCAUAGGGAUGGGUGAAGCCCGCCUGGCCUGUGGUGCUUCCCAGUGGCCGUCAUCUCACUAG
ensembl:lncRNA